UACGUAGGGGGCAAGCGUUGUCCGGAUUCAUUGGGCGUAAAGAGCUUGUAGGCGGUUUGUCGCGUCUGCCGUGAAAAUCCGAGGCUCAACCUCGGACUUGCGGUGGGUACGGGCAGACUAGAGUGUGGUAGGGGAGACUGGAAUUCCUGGUGUAGCGGUGAAAUGCGCAGAUAUCAGGAGGAACACCGAUGGCGAAGGCAGGUCUCUGGGCCACUACUGACGCUGAGAAGCGAAAGCGUGGGGAGCGAACAGG
rnacentral:rRNA from 1 species